rnacentral:rRNA from 1 species
UACAGAGGUCCCAAGCGUUGUUCGGAUUCACUGGGCGUAAAGGGUGCGUAGGUGGCUAGGUAAGUUUGAUGUGAAAGCUCCGAGCUUAACUCGGAAACUGCAUUGAAUACUCUCUAGCUAGAGGGUUGAAGGGGGGACUGGAAUUCUCGGUGUAGCAGUGAAAUGCGUAGAUAUCGAGAGGAACACCAGUGGCGAAGGCGAGUCCCUGGACAACUCCUGACACUGAGGCACGAAAGCUAGGGGAGCAAACAGG